UACGUAGGGUGCGAGCGUUAAUCGGAAUUACUGGGCGUAAAGCGUGCGCAGGCGGUUCGCCAAGUCAGGUGUGAAACCCCCGGGCUUAACCUGGGAAUUGCGCUUGAAACUAGCGGGCUUGAGUGCGGCAGAGGGGGGUGGAAUUCCACGUGUAGCAGUGAAAUGCGUAGAGAUGUGGAGGAACACCGAUGGCGAAGGCAGCCCCCUGGGUCGACACUGACGCUCAUGCACGAAAGCGUGGGGAGCAAACAGG
rnacentral:rRNA from 1 species